UACAGAGGGUGCAAGCGUUGUUCGGAAUUAUUGGGCGUAAAGGGUGCGUAGGCGGUGCGGUAAGUCUGUAGUGAAAUCUCUGGGCUCAACUCAGAGUCUGCUAUAGAAACUGCCGUGCUUGAGUGUGGGAGAGGUGAGUGGAAUUCCUGGUGUAGCGGUGAAAUGCGUAGAUAUCAGGAGGAACACCUGUGGCGAAAGCGGCUCACUGGACCAUAACUGACGCUGAUGCACGAAAGCUAGGGGAGCAAACAGG
rnacentral:rRNA from 1 species